rnacentral:lncRNA from 1 species
AAAAAAAAAAAAAAGAAGAAGGAGAAGAAGAAGAAAGGAAUGAAGAAGUAAAGUGCAUUAAAUGAAAAUGGUAUGUAUCAAUCAACAAAUGUUGACCAAAGAUAUAGAAGAUAAAGGUCAAACAAUAGAAAACAGAAGCAAGAUGAAAUUGAGAAGUCAAGAAAUAAAUAAAAUAUUUUUGGCAUUUUUAAUAUUUAAAAU